rnacentral:rRNA from 1 species
AAGUCGAACGGUAACAGGGACUUCGGUCCGCUGACGAGUGGCGCACGGGUGAGUAACGCGUGGAUAUCUGCCUAUCAGUGGGGGACAACUACGGGAAACCGUAGCUAAUACCGCAUACGCUGUACGCAGGAAAGCGGGGGAUCUUCGGACCUCGCGCUGAUAGAUGAGUCCGCGUCUGAUUAGCUAGUUGGUGGGGUAAAGGCCUACCAAGGCGAUGAUCAGUAACUGGUUUGAGAGGAUGAUCAGUCACACUGGAACUGAGACACGGUCCAGACUCCUACGGGAGGUAGCAGUGGGGAAUAUUGCACAAUGGGGGAAACCCUGAUGCAGCGACGCCGCGUGCGGGAAGAAGGCCUUCGGGUUGUAAACCGCUUUCAAUUGGGAAGAAGAGAUGAGGGUUAAUAACCCUCUGAUUUGACGGUACCUUUAGAAGAAGCACCGGCUAAUUUCGUGCCAGCAGCCGCGGUAAUACGAAAGGUGCAAGCGUUGUUCGGAUUUACUGGGCGUAAAGAGAUCGUAGGUGGUUUGUUAAGUCGGAUGUGAAAUCCCGGGGCUCAACCCCGGAACUGCAUUCGAUACUGGCAGGCUAGAGUUUGGGAGGGGUAAGCGGAAUUCCGUGUGUAGCAGUGAAAUGCGUAGAUAUACGGAGGAACACCUGAGGCGAAGGCGGCUUACUGGACCAAUACUGACACUGAGGAUCGAAAGCGUGGGUAGCAAACAGGAUUAGAUACCCUGGUAGUCCACGCCCUAAACGAUGUCAACUAGCCGUAGCGGGUAUCGACCCCUGCUGUGGCGAAGCUAACGCGAUAAGUUGACCGCCUGGGGAGUACGGUCGCAAGAUU